rnacentral:rRNA from 1 species
AUUGAACGCUGGCGGCAUGCCUUACACAUGCAAGUCGAACGGCAGCACGGGAGCAAUCCUGGUGGCGAGUGGCGAACGGGUGAGUAAUAUAUCGGAACGUGCCCAGUCGUGGGGGAUAACGUAGCGAAAGCUACGCUAAUACCGCAUACGAUCUAUGGAUGAAAGCGGGGGAUCGCAAGACCUCGCGCGAUUGGAGCGGCCGAUAUCAGAUUAGGUAGUUGGUGAGGUAAAGGCUCACCAAGCCGACGAUCUGUAGCUGGUUUGAGAGAACGACCAGCCACACUGGGACUGAGACACGGCCCAGACUCCUACGGGAGGCAGCAGUGGGGAAUUUUGGACAAUGGGCGAAAGCCUGAUCCAGCAAUGCCGCGUGCAGGAAGAAGGCCUUCGGGUUGUAAACUAGCUCUUGUACGGAACG